rfam:Arabidopsis thaliana chromosome 2, complete sequence.
ACAGUAGUUUUCCAAUAGGUCGAGCAUGUGCUGAAACUGUGUGUACAGAGUUCUCAUAAACACACAGUUUCAGCAUAUGCUGGAUCUACUUGAAGACUACUGU